CCUCAUUCUUCCCACUUUCCAGAUGAGAAAGCCGAGGCACCAUGAGGUUUGGUGAUUUGCUCACGUGACACACCUGCAGCUUCGAUGGACUCGGGAUGGGCCGGCAUCUCAGUUCCUUCUCCAGGAGGGCCUGCCAUCUUACCCCAGACUCCUCGCGUCCUUGCUCGCCUCGGCCCCCGGAGCUUCCUGAAGGGCUGCCCGGAGCCCGCGUGCUCUGCAGGGCUCGGCACGGUGUCCUCUGGCUGCUCUGACGGGACGACGCAGGAUCGCCCGCCAGCCACCCGUGUCGCCCAGCCUGGCGGGUGUGUCUGGGCACGUGCAGUGCUCUGCCUCGCCGUGGAGGGGGAGUCCGAGACCCCGAAGAGCUGGCUCCAAGGCAGACCUGCGGGCAGGCAGAGGAAGGCAGGGGUGAGGCCUGGAGCGGGAGCGCGGUCGGCGGCUUCUGCCUUCUCCGCCAGCUUGCCGGUGAGUGUCACCGCUUCCCAGGAGCGCUCUGUGCCACGGAUCAGAGACCACGGGGGUCCUUGCACGUCACCCGGCACCUGAGGAUGUGACAU